rnacentral:rRNA from 1 species
UGAGGAAUAUUGGACAAUGGGUGAGAGCCUGAUCCAGCCAUCCCGCGUGAAGGACGACGGCUCUAUGGGUUGUAAACUUCUUUUGUAUAGGUAUAAACCUUUCCACGUGUGGAAAGCUGAAUGUACUAUACGAAUAAGCACCGGCUAACUCCGUGCCAGCAUCCGCGGUAAUACGGAGGGUGCAAGCGUUAUCCGGAUUUAUUGGGUUUAAAGGGUCCGUAGGCGGGCUCGUAAGUCAGUGGUGAAAUCUCAUAGCUUAACUAUGAAACUGCCAUUGAUACCGUGAGCCUUGAGUAAGGUAGAGGUAGCUGGAAUUAGUAGUGUGUCGGAGAAAUGCAUAGAUUUUACAUAGAACACCAAUUGCGACGGCAGUUUACCAUGUCUUAAGUGACGCUGAUGGACGAAAGCGUGGGGAGCGAACA